GUGCCAGCAGCCGCGGUAAUACGGAGGGUGCAAGCGUUGUCCGGAAUCAUUGGGUGUAAAGGGUGCGCAGGCUGGCGCCUAAGUCGGAGGUGAAAUCUUGCCGCUUAACGGUAAAAUUGCCCCCGAUACUGGGUGUCUUGAAUCUGACAGAGGUCGGUGGAAUUCGUGGUGUAGCGGUGAAAUGCAUAGAUAUCACGAAGAACAUCAGUGGCGAAGGCGGCCGGCUGGGUCAGUAUUGACGCUGAGGCACGAGAGCGUGGGGAGCGAACAGGAUUAGAUACCCCGGUAGUCC
rnacentral:rRNA from 1 species